GGUGGUAAAGUGCAGUGGUAGAGUGUGUGUUUACCAUAUAUGAGGUCCUGAGUUCAAUCCUCACUACCUCCA
rnacentral:tRNA from 1 species